rnacentral:rRNA from 1 species
AUUGAACGCUGGCGGCAGGCUUAACACAUGCAAGUCGAGCGCGCGGCGGACGGGUGAGUAAUAUCUGGGAAACUUCCUGAUGGAGGGGGAUAACUACUGGAAACAGUAGCUCAUACCGCAUACCAUCAGAUGUGCCCAGAUGGGAUUAGCUCGUAGGUGGGGUAAUGGCUCACCUAGGCGACGAUCCCUAGCUGGUCUGAGAGGAUGACCAGCCACACUGGAACUGAGACACGGUCCAGACUCCUACGGGAGGCAGCAGUGGGGAAUAUUGCACAAUGGGCGAAAGCCUGAUGCAGCCAUGCCGCGUGUGUGAAGAAGGCCUUCGGGUUGUAAAGCACUUUCAGCGAGGAGGCGUUACUCGCAGAAGAAGCACCGGCUAACUCCGUGCCAGCAGCCGCGGUAAUUC